UCAAGGGUUCUCUAGAGCCAUCCAAACACUUCAUAUGCAAGAAUCCAAGUGAAACUAAAGAUCCACUUCAUCAAUCCACAAAACUAAGUGUGAGAAACACAUCAAAUCCAUUCAAGUCAAGAAAUUCCAUGGAAGGUGGAAUUAGGGUUUUGUUCAAGUGAAGUAUUUCAAAUCAAGGCUUAUUCCUACAAUAACUAAGAUCAAAGUUGAAAGGGUUGACGAACAUUGUAUUACGCUCAAAGGCUGGAAUUAAGGCAAUGAUAUACAGGUUGACGACUCAGCUAUUUAGGAGUGCACGUAUCAGCUACUGGUGAGCCCCAAAUUCCUUCGGGGCGUUGUCAGCUAUCUAGUUAAUUCAGUUUAUAGACAGUUUUAUUAUUCAGUACUCUUAGAGGCUUCAUAGACACAGUUCAGACAGUCAGAUAUUUGUU